rnacentral:rRNA from 1 species
CAGUAGCCACGGUAAUACGUAGGGUGCAAGCGUUAAUCGGAAUUACUGGGCGUAAAGCGUGCGUAGGCGGUGAGUUAAGUCAGAUGUGAAAUCCCCGAGCUUAACUCGGGAACUGCAUUUGAGACUGGCAGGCUAGAGUCUCGUAGAGGGGGGUAGAAUUCCAGGUGUAGCGGUGAAAUGCGUAGAGAUCUGGAGGAAUACCGGUGGCGAAGGCGGCCCCCUGGACGAAGACUGACGCUCAGGUACGAAAGCGUGGGGAGCAAACAGGAUUAGAUACCCCGGUAGUCCCUGUCUCUUAUAA